rnacentral:rRNA from 3 species
CCUGCGGAGGGAUCAUUACCGAGUUUACAACUCCCAAACCCCUGUGAACAUACCAAUUGUUGCCUCGGCGGAUCAGCCCGCUCCCGGUAAAACGGGACGGCCCGCCAGAGGACCCCUAAACUCUGUUUCUAUAUGUAACUUCUGAGUAAAACCAUAAAUAAAUCAAAACUUUCAACAACGGAUCUCUUGGUUCUGGCAUCGAUGAAGAACGCAGCAAAAUGCGAUAAGUAAUGUGAAUUGCAGAAUUCAGUGAAUCAUCGAAUCUUUGAACGCACAUUGCGCCCGCCAGUAUUCUGGCGGGCAUGCCUGUUCGAGCGUCAUUUCAACCCUCAAGCCCAGCUUGGUGUUGGGACUCGCGAGUCAAAUCGCGUUCCCCAAAUUGAUUGGCGGUCACGUCGAGCUUCCAUAGCGUAGUAGUAAAACCCUCGUUACUGGUAAUCGUCGCGGCCACGCCGUUAAACCCCAACUUCUGAAUGUGACC